rnacentral:rRNA from 1 species
GAUGAACGCUAGCUACAGGCUUAACACAUGCAAGUCGAGGGGAAACGGCAUUUUAGCUUGCUUCCGAUAGGCGUCGACCGGCGCACGGGUGAGUAACGCGUAUCCAACCUGCCCAUCACUUGGGAAUAACCUUGCGAAAGUAAGACUAAUGCCCAAUGAUAUUUAUAGAAGGCAUCCGAAAUGAAUUAAAGAUUUAUCGGUGAUGGAUGGGGAUGCGUCUGAUUAGCUUGUUGGCGGGGUAACGGCCCACCAAGGCGACGAUCAGUAGGGGUUCUGAGAGGAAGGUCCCCCACAUUGGAACUGAGACACGGUCCAAACUCCUACGGGAGGCAGCAGUGGGGAAUAUUGGGCAAUGGACGCAAGUCUGACCCAGCAACGCCGCGUGAAGGAAGAAGGCUUUCGGGUUGUAAACUUCUUUGACAGGGGAAGAGCAGAAGACGGUACCCUGAAAACAAGCCACGGCUAACUACGUG